UACGUAGGGGGCUAGCGUUGUCCGGAAUCAUUGGGCGUAAAGCGCGCGUAGGCGGCUUCGUAAGUCCGUUGUGAAAGUCAAAGGCUCAACCUUUGAAAGCCGAUGGAUACUGCGGAGCUAGAGUACGGAAGAGGCGAGUGGAAUUCCUGGUGUAGCGGUGGAAUGCGCAGAUAUCAGGAGGAACACCAGUGGCGAAGGCGGCUCACUGGUCCAUUACUGACGCUGAGGUGCGAAAGCGUGGGGAGCAAACAGG
rnacentral:rRNA from 1 species